GCUGCUGCGCCGAGCCUGCGCCCGGGGAUCGCCCGCGAGGGAGUCCAGCCUGGCGGGCUGGGCUGCCAUCUGCUAGGUGCCUCGGCACGGGGGUCCCUCCAGCCGCUCUGGGCCGCGGCUCGCCAUGUCCGUCUCACGAGCCAUUUUUAUUAUAGCAGCCGGAAAGCCGCCAGCGAAGUGCGGGUCCCGUUGUGCUCGGGGCUUUACCAACACGCAGGGUCCCGCGGAUCCCCCUUCCCCGCAUUGUGCUUCGCGCGCGUGAAUAGCUCCCUUGCCAUCAGCUGGGCAGGACUGCCUACAGCCUGAGAGUUAAGGACAUGCUGUGUAAGGUUGGAGGUCCCUGCAACGGGCCCCGCAAUCUAAGGCUCUGAUCCUGCAAGCAUGGAUCAGGAGAGCCAAAAGCACGUGAAGGAUUUUCUUCACUUUGAAGCAAAUGACAAUUGGCACAGAGCUGGACACAUCUGACACCUUUUACCGACCUGCUGGUUGUCCUAGAUGUGGAGGGCAGUAGCAGCCAACCUGCUCUUUAGAACUGGUUGGGAAAUGGUUUUUACUCCGCAGAAGAUUUUGAUGAGAACUUUAAAAAGUCAUUUUCAUCAACAACAAAAUUGCAAACCAGAAUUUUUCAGCUGAAAACCAAACAUUUCUAUUCAGAAAUUCUGCCUUGGUGCCUCAUGGGAGUUAUAGUUUGCAUGCGUCAUGUCCCCGUUCCUAUGGGCUAGAAGGCUCUCUAGCUGGACUACAUCUUCUAUGAUGCACCAUGGUUUCCUCUUUUGGUGAGCCGUUGCGAUGCACCAUGGGAAUCCCUGGCUAUGGUGUGUUAUGGGAAAUGUAGUCUGGCUGGGGAUAUCAGCCCAAAGAGGAGAAUGAGGGCAUAAGUCAACCAAACUACAAUUCCCAACAGACCUUGUGGCAGCAGCUAAAGACUGAAAAGUUUUCAGAUGUUUUAUUUUUUAAUAUGGUGUGAUGGGGUGUGCAUACCCCACACUGGGCAGGGAAGGGUUAAUCCCACAUUAUGGACAGAGGAAGUUCUGUCCCUCAGACCACACUGAGCAUGCUCCAGAUGCUGCACUAGUAUAAAGGAGAGCAGCCCAGCUCGGUCUGGGCAGAACACCAAGGAGGAAGGAUGCUUGAUGGAGGCUCCAGCCCAGGAGCCGUUAGAGCCCUUGCCUGCGGGAGCCAGAGAUCCCGAGACCUGGACCGGAGAUCUGUUGCCAUUGGAGUCCCAGGGAGUUACCUGUGCCGAGGAGCCCAGAGACCCUGAUGCCUUAUGGACUGCAGCUUCAGGAAGUCCGGAGUGUCUGCUGGUGACUCUUUUCUGAUGUUUUGUGAACAGCUUCAGCCCAUGUUUGCCAACGAGACUUCUGUGGAUUGUGGUUCAGCCAUAUGACCCUUGGAACUAGGUGGCAGGGAAGAUGAGCAAUGGAGAUGUAAACUUUGUCAUUGAAGUUCAGCUGUUUGAUUACUUUCUUAGAGCCCUGAGAAGAGGGCCAGAAAGGGUUACACAACUAGCAGACUAAUUGACCCGGAUUCAACCUUUAGAGACAUAUUAGUAGAUAAUGUUUGUGGUUUUGUGUGUUUACAUAUAAAUUGUUAGAGAUUGACAAUGUAACCAAACGGUUCCUGUUCUAUCACUGUAUUCUGUUAAUUCAGAGAUCAAAAAGGCUGUUCACAUUUAAAUGAACUUUGAAUGUAGUGAUAUCACGGUCUUCAUUUCUCUUUGAAGUAUGUAAUAAACUACCUGUAAAUGGCAGGAGAUAGACAAUUGCCUUAUGUUAAUCCAUGUAGCUAAUUACCGGUGAUGCUUAGGAAACAGGAGGUUACUUCAAAGCUAGGAUAAUUGCCUAUUGUUCACCCAAGGACUGCACACUGUCAAGAGACUAUCAUGGCCUGCCAGUGAUCUAUAUCAUGAAAUCCUGGGCCAUGAUCCUUUCAUCUCAGAUCUGCUUAAGCUUCAUCAGGGGAAGUUUGAGUUGCAAGACUGAGAUGUCCAGUUCCAUUCUGGAUCGCUCGGAUAUUGGACAUUGAACUAUAAGCUAGUGAACUAAUUCUGGAAAGGACUCUUUACAACUCUAAAGCUCACUUUCUCUACUAUGAAACUGACCUAAGAACUCUAUUCAGACCUGUAUGUAUAAUGAUCUUUUAACCAAUACUCUCUCUUUUCUUUUUUAAGAAAUGUUAGUUUAGUUAAUAAGAAUUGAAUAAGAAUUUAGUUUAUAAGAAAUAAGUAUGUAUUUGGGUAAGAUCUGAAAUAUUCAUUAACCUGGUGGGUAAUAUGUCCAAUCCUUUGGGAUUGGUAGAACUUUUUAUAUGAUGAAUAAUAUUUUCAGUAUUCCUUAGCAUACUUGACUUGGCUGUCUGGGUGGGAGCUCAAGGCUGGGUUGCUUUAAGGGAACUGUAUUUCUGGCUUCUGGGUAACCAGUAAAGUAUUGUAGAAGCUGUUUUGCUGCUAGCUUGGUGAAUCUAUGUAUUAGAAUAGCCACCAGUUUGGGGGAUUGUCUGCCCCAUUUUUUGCAGUUUGCCCUAACUGAGCAGACUCAGUGUGGCCCCCCUAGGACUCUGGUCACAAGGGCACUGAGAAAGCAGUGUUAAUAUUUCAUGGUGAGGACAGUAGCCUCUCUGUCCUUCAGCUAUACAACUGGCCCACCUUACAAACAGAAGGGAUGAGACAUAGCUAAAAUAAUAUAAAGGGAGUAUAUCAUGUA